rnacentral:rRNA from 1 species
GACGAACGCUGGCGGCGUGCUUAACACAUGCAGGUCGAACGGAAAGGCCCUGCUUGCAGGGUGCUCGAGUGGCGAACGGGUGAGUAACACGUGGGUGAUCUGCCCCUUACUUUGGGAUAAGCCUGGGAAACUGGGUCUAAUACUGGAUAGGACCAUGCUGUAGGUGGUGUGGUGGAAAGAUUAGUUUCGGUAAGGGAUGAGCUCGCGGCCUAUCAGCUUGUUGGUGGGGUAAUGGCCUACCAAGGCGUCGACGGGUAGCCGGCCUGAGAGGGUGGACGGCCACAUUGGGACUGGGAUACGGCCCAGACUCCUACGGGAGGCAGCAGUGGGGAAUAUUGCACAAUGGGCGCAAGCCUGAUGCAGCGACGCCGCGUGGGGGAUGACGGCCUUCGGGUUGUAAACUCCUUUCAGCCAUGACGAAGCCUUCGGGUGACGGUAGUGGUAGAAGAAGCACCGGCUAACUACGUG